UACGAUCACGUCAUGUUGAAACACUGGUUCUCAUCCGACCACCGAAGUUAAGCAACGUCGAGGCUGGUUCAGUAACAAGAUGGGUGACCGCUUGGAAAUACCAGGUGCUGUAAG